UGCUGCUGAGAGACAAUUUGAGAUGAAACAAGCCGUCACCAUUCAGGACAACAAGAAAGAUGUGUGCAAUCCUUCCAAGGAUGCCAUAAAAUGCUGUAUAUGUUUGGAAGCCAUAAACCAAUAUUUACCCCAGAUAAUUGCUCAGGUUAACCAGAAAAUCAGAGCUGCAUGCAAUGUCAACAGGUUUCUGAGGAAACUAUGUUUAAAGAUCGCCACAAAGAUAAAAAUGAAAGUUUUAAGAAAAUUUUUCCCAAGAGGUCCUCUACAAUUCUGCAAGAGGUAUAAAAUGUGCAAGUAAAAGACAACUGUAAACAGUCCAUUAAAACAUCAACUCUUUAAGUAGGAUUGUUUACUUGUUUGUUUUGGUAAAAGCAUGAGAUGAAAAUGCCUCCCCUGGUUUCUGUAAACUUCAUUAUACACUGGACAAAUCCUUAGAUCAGAAAAUGCAUUCAGUCAAAAAUGCUUUUAAAAUGUUCUGAAAGAUGUAUGUUUAUCAUGUUUUGGAAGAUUUUGUUUUUGUUGUUUCUCAUUUACUGCUCAUUAAAAAUCUAAUCAUUUUUAUGUGAAGACAUUUGUUUCUGUCAAUAAAGUUGUCAUAUCUCCCUUAAAAAUAAAAA